AAGUGCUUAAUAAAAUGUGAAAUGAUUUUCAAAUUUAAGGUAGUUUUCUAUCUCAUCAUUGCUCCGCUUAUGCAUUUCCAUUAACUUUUAUUCUGGAGUCGACUUCCUCAAAGCCACAUGAGUUGACCAGCUUUGCUUUGGAAGGCCAAGUCUCACGGGGAUGUCCACUCAUUCAUCGUGAUGGCACCAGUGACGACUCUCGAACUUAGGAGCAGAAAAAGAAGGAAUGGCCAUGUGACUUAUGUCCAUGGAAAACCUGUUCUUGAGCGUUUUUCCAGACUGUGAUUGGCUGUGGAUAACAAACUGCGGAAUGCGAAACUGUUGAUAAGGGUGGACUACUGUAACUCUGGACAAUUUCCUCAACUCUGCCCAAUAUCAAAGGAAGGCUCUUCAGGCUCCAAGCAUUGUCAGUGAUGUGCUACAAAGAGGAACAACUAAGCUGACACAGAUAUGAAGGCAGCAAUGACACUGAACUGCCAGAAUAGUGAUCCUCAAAGGUGGACAGGUGUCACACCUGAAUCCCUGGGGGUCAGGACCAAUCAACUUCCCCGCCUACCCCAACCGUGGCCACUCUUUCUAGUCAUAGUUUAUCUUAUGCCUCAGGGGCAGUAAUGGGGUUAAGAAAUGGUAGAAAGUAUGUACCCAAAUUCUCAAUCACAUUUGAUUGUUCACUAGAACUUUUUCUAAGAAGACUAAAUGGUGAGAACGGGGGGAUGGCCCUCCAGGAAAAUUCAGGUAGGUGUCAUAAUAUUUAAUGAAAGAGGCAUUUCCUUUUUUAAUCCUUUGUAGGGUCAGAAAAGAAAAAAAUUCAAGAUAUGCAAAGGAAGCCAGAUCAAAAUCCCCUUGGCCAUGGAUACUGGUGCCCUACAUCAGCACCCUUCAAGAGUGUGGAUGAGGCUGAGUAGGUGGGAACCUGCAUCCCUUGAAAGAAGCAGGCAAGGACAGGGUAGUGACAAGUGCUGGUCACUUGUGAGGGCUGCCUCCCCAUCCAGUUCCCUCUGCAGCCAGGAGCAGGAGUUGUUUCUGGCUCAAGCCAGCCCCCAUGGCCGCCAUUCCCUUAUAUGACCCUGCUUCGCAGGGUAACGUACCAGACAGUUUCACGCUCGUUAUCCUUGCAACGGAUUACUCGGUGAGGAGCAUCAGAGAACUGAAAAGACAGACUGACUUCGACUUGAAUCCUGGCUCUUCCUCUUACUAGUUUCAUGGCCUUGGAUGGAAAAAUGAGUUAUUCCACUGAAGCCAGGAAAAUCCAUGCUGGCACCCUAGCAGUCCAUCAGAAAGUCGUUAUUUCUCCACUGUCAGAGAUCCUGUCCUGAAUAUGCAGCCUAGCACAGCAUGUUAUGGAGCUGCCUCUGGGAUCAAGGGAAAGGAGAACUCAGUACCCUGAGGUGCACAAAAGGCACUGCACAAGAAGGCCCACAUUGACGUGCAGAAGGAAGUGAAGAGGAAGGAGUGAUACAUUCUGAAAUGGUUGAAGAGCCGAAAAAAGGCAAAGCAUUGAGGAAAGUGAGAACUGAGGAAAAGGGCACUGGAUUUGAUGACUCACUACUCUCCUUUAGUGAACUUUAAUAGAAGAGUUUCAGUAGAGUAAUAGAAACCAAAAUUGCAACCAGUUCAACGAGUAGGAGGCAAAGAAAUGCCAGUGAACAUAGAUUAUGCUUGAAAUGAAUGCAAGAGAUGAGACAGCUGACUUCAGAAAGCAGCGGAUUCAACAGAAGAUUGUUUAAUUGGCUGACAAUUUUUAUGAUAAGAAAGACCAGAAAAGGUCUAUAGGCUAAUGGGGGAGAGGAUAGUGGGAAAAGAUUGUAGAGGUUUGGGAGGUUUUUGUCCUCAGAUAGGAGGAAAGAGAGAAGGUACAUGGCACCUAAUACAUACUCAAUACGUAUUUGUUGAAUUAAAAAGGAUCUAGUUUGGAGGAUGCUAACUCUUAUGGGGAGUAAUAGUAUAAUAAUUAAGUCAAAUCUUAGCAAGAGGUGGUUCCUGGAAGAACUCAGGUCUCAUUUGAAGGGAUCCCAAGAUCCCUUGAGCCAGGCACUUCUCCCCAUGCAGGAAUAUAGAGCCAUUGAUACCAGAGAUUCUGAUGGCAAAAAGCUGGAUUUUUGUGGGAGAUUUCUUUAUUUUUAAACUUUGACAACUGUUUUAAACAACGUUAAUCCAACAAAAUAGCCAAUAUUCAGUCAAUUGGCAACCACUUGGUAACUUGUAUUUUAGCACAUAUUUCUCUAGAUCAUACUUGCUUGAAUGGCAUUUAACAGUUUUAUUGAUAUAUAAUUUACAAAUACAAUUCACCCAUUUAAAGUGUACAAUUCAACUGCUUUUAGAAAUUUCCAGAUAUGUGUAACCAUCACCACAGAGCAUUUAAAAAAUUUUCAUCACCUCAAAAAGAAACCUGGGGGUUCUUUAGCUAUCACUCCCCUAUUUCCUCACUCCCCCAACCCCAAGCAACCACUAACCUACGUUCUCUAUACAUUUGCUUAUUCUGUAUUUUAUUUGAAUGAAAUUGUGUAAAAUGUAGUCUUCUGUGACUGGCAUAUUUCACUUAGGGGAUAGGUUUUUUUUUGUUUUUGUUUUCAAGUAAAGAAGUGAGAAUGUGAAAAAUUUGGAGGGAUUUUAAUCUCAGUGAAAGGGAAGGCCA